rnacentral:lncRNA from 1 species
CCACCGAUCUCACUUAUCUGGCCAAUUUGAUAGAUUAUCUUUUGAUCAGAUCACUAAUUGAUUUGAGUUGAUCCAUACCAUUAAGAUAAAUCAGUGUAACUAAUUUAGAUGUCUCUAGACCAGCUUGUAUCUAGUUCUCUUCAUGGCUUGGUGAAGUCAAUGGGAGGAUUUAUAACUUGCAGGUCAAUUUUUUCUCUUGUUCUCAAAUCAUUAAAUCAAAUCUUCUAAAUUAUUAGGUCCUUAAAAUGAUACA